AGAACUUGUUCUCAACUAGCCUACCUGGUUAAAUAAAGGUGAAAUAAAAAAACUUGUCGCCAAACCCACUGGCUCCAGGUCAUCUACAAGACCCUUCAGGUAAAGUCCCCCCUUAUCUCAGCUCGCUGGUCACCAUAGCAGCACCCACCUGUAGCACGUGCUCCAACAGGUAUAUCUGUCUGGUCACUCCCAAAGCCAAUUCUUCCUUUGGCCGCCUCUCCUUCCAGUUCUCUGCUGCCAAUGACUGGAACAAACUACAAAAAUCUCUGAAACUGGAAACACUUAUCCCCCUCACUAGCUUUAAGCACCAGCUGUCAGAGAAGCUCACAGAUUACUGCACCUGUACAUAGCCCAUCUAUAAUUUAGCCUAAACAACUACCUCUCCCCCUACUGUAUUUAUUUAUUUAUUUAUUUAUUUAGCUCCUUUGCACCCCAUUAUUUCUACUUUGCACAUUCUUCCACUGCAAAUCUACCAUUCCAGUGUUAUACUUGCUAUAUUGUAUUUACUUCGCCACCAUGACCUUUUUUUUUGCCUUUACCUCCCUUAUCUCACCUCAUUUGCUCACAUCGACUUAUUUUUCUACUGUAUUAUUGACUGUAUGUUUGUUUUACUCCAUGUGUAACUCUGUGUUGUUGUAUGUGUCGAACUGCUUUGCUUUAUCUUGGCCAAAUGAGAACUUGUUCUUAACUUGUCUACCUGGUUAAAUAAAGGUGUGUGGGGGGGAAAUGCUCCCAGCACAAGGUGCACCUGUGUAAUGAUCAGGCUGUUUAAUCAACUUCUUGUUAUGCCAUACCUGUCAGGUGGAUGGAUUAUCUUGGCAAAGUAGAAAUGCUCACUAACAGGGAUGUAAACAGAUUUCUGCACAAAGUUGGAGAGCGAAGGUUUUUGUGUGUAUGGAACAUUUCUGGGAUCUUUUAUUUCAGCUGAAACACGGAACCAACACUUUACAUGUUGUGUUUAUAUUUCUGUUCAGUAUAAUAUGUUACUUUAGAUAUUAUCUCAAAUUCCCCCGUCAUAAUGACCAACGGAUUUUAAAAUGUAUUUUCAUUUUAUUUAACUUCUGGCUUCCCACAGACUGUUCUUGUGCAACCCAAUACAAUAGGAAGUAACACUAGUGUAUGUAAAUACACCCGCGUUGCUAAAAACAGGUAGUCACUUGCCUGCCCUGAAUGUGCUUUCAGGGGAUGACUGGUCUGGCAGCUCAACAGAGCCAAGGGAGAGAAGGUCAAAUACGAGGUGGCGGAUUUGACCAGUGUGUAUGAAGAGGUGGACGAGGAACUCUCGGAUGGCGAGAGAGGCAGAACGGUGACUGGAUCGUUGAUGAUGUUUUCUUGAAGAUCACUCCGUGACACACACAAUGCAGUGGUUCAGCAGAAGAUGAUGCGCUGUCUGCCGCUGACUUCCCACUCGCCGUCUCUCGCCGCUGUCAUCAAAUGGACUCAUGCUAGCAACAAGUUCUGACUGAGCUCUAUUGUCAUGAAAUGCCAUACAACUGCAGAGUUUCUCUCUUUCUCAUACAAAGUUAUAACGAGGAGCGCCCACAAUGUGUUCUGUGUGGGGAAAGUGCUUACUGAUGAGUCUCUCAUAACGAACAAAUGAGUAAAAGGACACGCCCUGACCAAACAUCCACAGCAUGAUGGUAAACCCAGAGAGUUAUUUCAGAACAGGGCAGAAUGCUUCAGGAAACAGUGGUUCAGGAAACAGUGCUUCAGGAAACAGGGCUUCAGGAAACAGUGCUUCGGGAAACAGGGCUUCAGGAAACAGUGCUUCGGGAAACAGGGCUUCAGGAAACAGUGCUUCGGGAAACAGUGCUUCGGGAAACAGUGCUUCAGGAAACAGUGCUUCGGGAAACAGUGCUUCGGGAAACAGUGCUUCGGGAAACAGUGCUUCAGGAAACAGUGCUUCAGGAAACAGUGCUUCAGGAAACAGUGGAAAAGUAAGUCAGCUAGCAAGACAUUGUUGUCAUUUUAUAACAGGUGAUGGAUGAUAAGCAGAAAUAAGGGAAUACUAGCUAACUCUCAUAGUAGAUGUGAGUUUCUCUUUCAAACAAUCCUCUGGCCUUGUACACAGCUAAUAGCUAACAUUCACCAAAGCAAGCUAGCUACUGAUAGUGCAACCCUCAGUAACAGUCCAGAUGAAAAAUGAUCAGGCCUACUGUUCAUCUUACUGUUGAAAACUAGUCUAGGUUGGAACUGUUGCUGUUAAAAUACAAUAAUAAUUUGUAUUCUUAACUGGAAUAAACUGAUUGAAGCAAGAUGAUAUUUGAGGCAAACACACUCACACAGUUCUGUUUUUAUUUAUUUUUUAUUUCACCUUUAUUUAACCAGGUAGGCUAGUUGAGAACAAGUUCUCAUUUGCAACUGCGACCUGGCCAAGAUAAAGCAUAGCAGUGUGAACAGACCACAGAGUUACACAUGGAGUAAACAAUU
ensembl:lncRNA